rnacentral:tRNA from 1 species
UCCCUGGUAGUUUAGUGGUUAAGACUCUGUGCUCCCAAUGCAGGGGGCCCAGGUUCAAUCCCUGGUUGGGGAA